rnacentral:lncRNA from 1 species
AGCCAUCUUGGAAAAGGAUCCUCCAGUCCAUGUCAAGUUUUCAGAGGAGUGCAGCCUCAGCAGACAUAAUUAUAACCUCUUGAAAGACCCUGAGCCUCUAAGCUGCUUCUAGUUUCCCGACCGUCAGAACCUCUUUGAAGUAAUAAAGCAGGGUCACCCAUGGUGGACAGGUUUCAGCGGAGCUUCCAGACUAAGACAGACUAGGAAGAAGGAACUGCCCACCCACUUCUGAAAGAAUUGGCCAUGAAAACCCUGUGAAGAGCAGUGGAGCACCGUCUGAUGGAACACCGGAAGAAAGAUUCUUCUCAGGAGGGGUCCAGCCAGAGUCGUCACCAGACUGUCAAAGGGGUCCGUGGCACAAAAGAGUUUAAGAAUCUCUGGUGCAGACAAAGAAGAGAGAAAGAGAAAAGGCCUGAACCCUGGAACUCUCCAACAUUUAGUGAUUAAACAUUCAAGAAGGAACCAGCAAAAGACGCUCAAAUGACUGAGUUUACAUGGAGCCAACGAGAUUAUACUUUCUGCCAUCAGACAGAACAAGUAUUCAAAAAGAGACUAACUUUAACUACAGAAACAAAAAAAUUUUAAAUUUGUAUUUUUGUAUACCAGAGUUGUUGCCCAUGAGACAUUGGAGCAUACCAUACUGGGAGGCUUUGAAGCCAAAGGAAGAAAUAUUUCAAGGAAAGAGAAAUCAACCAUAUUAAAUGCUGAUGAAAAUGGACACUCGGAUUUGGCUAGAUGAGAGUUAAGUUGCUCUUAGCUGAGUAAGAGCAGUUUCGGUAGAUUUUUGGAGACAAAAGCUUGAUUUGAAUGGGUAAAGAAGAAAAUGGGAGAUGAGCAAAUAAAGAAAGCAAGUAAAGGUAUCUUUUUGGGGAGUUUUGCCAUAAGAGGAAGCAGAGAAAUUUGGAGGGGUUGCGAGGGGACCUGGAGUCAAGAGAAGCUUAAAUAAAAUUUUUUUAAAUAUUUGUGAUAUUCCAUUAUGCUGAUGAGAAUUAUGAUGAAAUUAAUGAUGCGGGAGAGAGAAUGGAUCACUGAAGAAGAGACAGAGGAUGGUAUCCAAUGGAAAGCUUGGUUUUCAAUUGGAGCAAGACCAGUUCAUCCAUUAUGACAGGAAAUUGGUUAGUGCCAUGAGUUAGUUUUUCAUAUUUAGUGGUUUUCUGAUUGUGUCUAUCUUUUGAUGAUGCCAUCAGCUGAGAAUGGGGAGUGUGGAAGGGUUUUGGAAAUUUGAGGAGAG